rnacentral:rRNA from 1 species
GACGAACGCUGGCGGCGUGCCUAACACAUGCAAGUCGAGCGGAGUCAGUAAGAGGAAGUUUUCGGAUGGAAUCUUAUUGAUUUAGCGGCGGACGGGUAAGUAACGCGUGAGCGACCAACCUUGCACAGGGGGAUAACGGACCGAAAGGUUCACUAAUACCGCAUGAGACCACGGUGUUGCAUGACACAGGGGUCAAAGGAGUAAUCCGGUGCAAGACGGGCUCGCGUCCGAUUAGGUAGUUGGAGGGGUAACGGCCCACCAAGCCUAUGAUCGGUAGCCGACCUGAGAGGGUGAUCGGCCACAUUGGAACUGAGAUACGGUCCAAACUCCUACGGGAGGCAGCAGUGGGGAAUAUUGGGCAAUGGGGGAAACCCUGACCCAACAACGCCGCGUGAAGGAAGAAGGUUUUCGGGUUGUAAAGCUCUGUCUUCAGGGACGAUAAUGACGGUACCUGAGGAGGAAGCCACGGCUAACUACGUGCCAGCAGCCGCAGUAA